rnacentral:snoRNA from 1 species
AUCCUUACAGAUUGUAAAUGUGAUAUUGGAUUUUCUCUUCAUUGUAGGAGAUGCGCCUCCCUUGAGCCUAAUUAGGACAGUGAGCACAGUACCUGACUAGUG